ACAUUUAAACACCCAUGGUCUGCCAUGUAAUAGUGUUAGGAAAGAACCCAACAGCAGAGGUCACAGACAAAUCCUUCUGCCCCAUUCUGCAGCUGCCAUUUUCGGCCUAUGCUGCUCUUACCAGGGCAACUAUGGCAAUGCUGGACUUACAAUUUACCCUCCAGCCUUUUCCCUGUGGCCUGUGUUGCUCCAAUAGCUCAGCCAUCAGGUCAUGUGCCGGCUCAAAGUCCUCUAUUAACUCUUCACUUGUGAUAAGAGGCAUUCCACACUCCCACCAGAUAGUCGAUGCGCCAUAAUGAGCCUCCUCUUUGGUGUCCAGACGGAAUUAUGUCGUGUCUCAUCGUCGGCUUUUGAUAGCUCUGAGAAGGUUUUUUCUUUGUGCUCAGAGUUAUGGCUCCCUCUGCACCCACCCUCUCAAGACCCAUUCUCUUACCCCUCCCUCGAUGUCUGCCCCAGUGUAGCCCACAUUCUCGUUGCCAAUACAUGCACCUGCCUGUUCAUGUUCCUAAGCAAUCACUUUGUGUUUUAUUUUCCUAUAUCCACAAGGGACAGAGAUGGAUACAACUCCUGGAGAGGCAGGACCCCAUCACACCAUUUUCUCAUACAAUUUGCUAGUGGUUUUCAGCUGACCUGCUCAGGCAACAUUUUUGCUCCUUUUUCUUCAGAAGCCCGAGAAGGACUUGCUACCCCUGAGAUAAUUUCCUUUGCAAUAAUCCAUGCCCAUUUUAAAAUAGUUUAAUCUCUUACACUGCCUGUGCAUCUAUCCUCCAGACACCGUUUGUUGAGUAGGCAAGGAGGGAGGGUCCAUUGAGAUUGAAUAUAAAUCUAUUGUGUCUCUAGUGGCCAUAUUUGGACAUAUUUACAUGUACCUACAAAGCCACUCUAGAAAUGUUUGGGUCCUUACUUGCAAAUGAGGGGAACUGAAACUCAGUGAGGGUUAACUUUUUUUUUUCUGAGAUGCCAGUCUGAUGCCAGACAUGGUGCCAAAGAGGAAAAAAUGUUUCAGGAUGGUACUUGUUAGGAUGGUCUUCACAGAUGCAGUGGCGACAGGCCAGACCUUGGCUGGGUGGGCAGGAGGGAAGCGCACUUUGUGUGAGCAGCAUCCCAACGACUUCAGAUGCAAGGUGACAAUGUGAGCAUUUACACGUCCAGAGACAGAGACCUGUCCUCAUUUCCCUUUCCAAUGAAGUACUAAAGUCAAUUACCUAGAUGGGAGCAGGCAAACACUGAAACGAGCCAGACGGGUCAAAGUUCAGCGCAUGUGUCUUGAAGCCCAUCAUGGAAAAAGGAGAAAGUUUCCAACCCUCAUGGGACCCAGUUGGAAUCCGUGGAUUGACAAGAGGAAGGAACACUGAGAAAUAACCCUUUGCUUCCACAUUGACUGCUGAGAGGAUCCAGAUGUGGAUCCGUUCUUUCUUCAGCACCAU